UACAGAGGUCUCAAGCGUUGUUCGGAUUCAUUGGGCGUAAAGGGUGCGCAGGCGGCGCGGUAAGUCGGGUGUGAAAUCUCGGAGCUUAACUCCGAAACUGCAUUCGAUACUGCCGUGCUUGAGGACUGGAGAGGAGACUGGAAUUUACGGUGUAGCGGUGAAAUGCGCAGAUAUCUGGAGGAACACCGGUGGCGAAGGCGGCAUCCUGGACCGGUAUUGACGCUGAGGAGCGGAAAGCCAGGGGGAGCAAAGCGGGGAUU
rnacentral:rRNA from 1 species